rnacentral:rRNA from 1 species
UACAGAGGUCUCAAGCGGUGUUCGGGUUCAUUGGGCGUAAAGGGCGCGUAGGCUGCGGGGUAAGUCGGGUGUGAAAUCUCAGAGCUCAACUCUGAAACUGCACUCGAUACUGCUCUGCUUGAGGACUGGAGAGGAGACUGGAAUUCACGGUGUAGCAGUGAAAUGCGUAGAUAUCGUGAGGAAGACCAGUGGCGAAGGCGGGUCUCUGGACAGUUCCUGACGCUGAGGCGCGAAGGCCAGGGGAGCAAACGGG